CUUGAACGCUGGCGGCAGGCCUCCCCCCUUCCAUUCGAGCUAGCGGCGGACGGGUGAGUAAUGUCUGGGAAACUGCCUGAUGGAGGGGGAUAACUACUGGAAACGGUAGCUAAUACCGCAUACCAUCAGAUGUGCCCAGAUGGGAUUAGCUAGUAGGUGGGGUAACGUCUCACCUAGGCGACGAUCCCUAGCUGGUCUGAGAGGAUGACCAGCCACACUGGAACGUAGACACGGGCCAGACUCCUACGGGAGGCAGCAGUGGGGAAGAUGGCACAAUGGGAGCAAGCCUGAUGCAGCCAUGCCGCGUGUGUGAAGAAGGCCUUCGGGUUGUAAAGCACUGUCAGCGGGGAGGCGUUACCCGCAGAAGAAGCACCGGCUAACUCCGUGAAAGCAGCCGCGGUAAUAC
rnacentral:rRNA from 1 species